UACAGAGGUCCCAAGCGUUGUUCGGAUUCACUGGGCGUAAAGGGCGCGUAGGUGGUCGUGUAUGUCUCCCGUGAAAGCCCACGGCUCAACCGUGGUGUGUCAGGAGAAACUGCAGGACUUGAGGCUGGGAGGGGCUGAUGGAAUUCCCUGUGUAGCGGUGAGAUGCGUAGAGAUGGGGGAGAACACUCGUGGCGAAGGCGGCCAGCUAGACCAGUUCUGACACUGAGGCGCGACAGCGUGGGGAGCAAACAGG
rnacentral:rRNA from 1 species